GUUAUGUCAAGUUUAACCGUUAAAGCACAGGUGGUUCAGGGAGCUUUCAGUCCUUAUAUUGGUUAUAAAUAGUUACUUUAGAGAGAACCUAUUUUGACAGUGACACUUGAAAUUAGUACCAAAUCAGCAGAAAAGCGCCUUCAUUUUAAAAUAAUAAAAACAAAUGAGAUAUUAUCUACCUUCAGCUUUAUUGUACAUAUUUAGAAAUAUGUGACAAAUGCUAAUAUUCUUGGUUGGUGCGUGUGCCCCAUAUGUGGAGGCUGUGGUCCUCUGGGUGGGCGGCCGGGUUCGAGUCCCACCUGUAGCUCCUUUCCCGCAUGUCGUUCCCCACUCUCUCUCCCUGAUUUCCAACUCUAUCCACUGUCCUAUCUCUCAAUUAAAGGCACAAAAAUCCCCAAAAGAAAUAUAAAAAUAAUAAUAAUAAAAAAUAAUGAGAACAAUAAGAUAAUGUUUUAAAAGCCAGAUCUGACUUAUAAUAGGCACAAAUAUGGAGUCAUAGAUAUAUAUUUUUUUAACUUCAAACCCAGUUAUUUGUUACUUGCACACCUGGUAAUUAAUGCAGUGUUUCCCACAGGGCACUACAACUUGUAGCACAGUAUGAACACACACACACACCCUCUCUCUCUCAUUGUGUUGUAUAAAUUAAGCCAGGUUGCCGUCUUAACUGGGUCACCUCAGUUUUCCCAUGGAGCAGUUUAACACGUUAUGUAAUGGCUUAAAAAUAUAGCCAAUCAGUGUUGAGUGUAUGUGAGCAGAAGCAGCAGGCUGCCAUCUGAAGACACUGAAACUGUGUCAGUUUAAAAUCUCAGAGUAUACAGUAUUAUGACUUUUACAAACA